rnacentral:tRNA from 1 species
UCCAGCGUGUAGUGGAUCUUGUUGCCGAGGUUGUCGCUGAUGUCGGUCAGCCGGUGCGCGGCAUCGUAGGCGUAGGCGGUGAAGCUGCCGUCGGGCUGGGU